rnacentral:rRNA from 1 species
UACGUAGGGUGCAAGCGUUAAUCGGAAUUACUGGGCGUAAAGCGUGCGCAGGCGGUUUUGUAAGUCUGUCGUGAAAGCCCCGGGCUCAACCUGGGAAUUGCGAUGGAGACUGCAAGGCUUGAAUCUGGCAGAGGGGGGUAGAAUUCCACGUGUAGCAGUGAAAAGCGUAGAGAUGUGGAGGAACACCGAUGGCGAAGGCAGCCCCCUGGGUCAAGAUUGACGCUCAUGCACGAAAGCGUGGGGAGCAAACAGG